AACGAACGCUGGCGGCGUGCCUAACACAUGCAAGUCGAGCGAGAAAGUUCCUUCGGGAAUGAGUAGAGCGGCGGACGGGUGAGUAAUACAUAGGUAAUUUACCUUCGAGCUCGGGAUAACACUGCGAAAGUGGUGCUAAUACCGGAUAAGACCACGUAACAUUAUGUUGCGGGGUAAAAGGUGGCUUGUUUUUAAAUGAGCUAUCACUUGAGGAUGAGCCUAUGGCCUAUCAGCUUGUUGGCGGGGUAAGAGCCCACCAAGGCUAUGACGGGUAACUGGUCUGAGAGGACGACCAGUCACACUGGGACUGAGACACGGCCCAGACUCCUACGGGAGGCUG
rnacentral:rRNA from 1 species